rnacentral:rRNA from 1 species
UGGUACCGUCAGCGCAAUGCCGUUUCUUACAUUGCGGGUUCUUCCCACUUGACAGAGCUUUACGACCCGAAGGCCUUCAUCACUCACGCGGCGUUGCUGCGUCAGGGUUUCCCCCAUUGCGCAAAAUUCCUCA